rnacentral:lncRNA from 1 species
UUUAUAUUUUUCAAUUUUUUUAUGAUUUUCAAUUAUAGGACAUUUUGAGUUUAAUAAAACAUUGGAAUUUAUCUUUCAUGAUUUUUGAUGGCCUCAAACAUAAAAGACCAUGAAGGACUUUGUGUGCUCAUGUAACAUUUGUUCAAAUUCAAAAUUCUUAACAUUGUACUUAGAAACUUCUAUAGCCACUACUAAUCUCAAAGCAAUUAUGGUCUUAAUUAUCAACAAAUUUCAUCAUUAAUCUGUUGCCAUCAGCUAUAUUUGAUGCUAUCUUUGUUGCUAUGGUUCAACUUACAAAGAUAGCAUAUUUUGUUCCAUAUAAAAAGAUAAUUUUGUAAGAAGAAAUGAUGAGGAAAU